CAAGCGCGAGAAGGGCGUUUGGUGGAUGCCUUGGCAGCAAGAGGCGAUGAAGGACGUGAUACUCUGCGAUAAGCCAGGGGGAGCCGAGAAUAGGCUUUGAUCCCUGGAUCUCCGAAUGGGGCAACCCACCUGAUAUUCAGUUAUUAUCAGCCGUCAGGUUUUUGAUAAUUGGGUAAACCAGGUACUUCUUACCUGAAUACAUAGGGUUUGAAGAGCAAACCCGGGGAACUGAAACAUCUAAGUACCCGGAGGAAAGGAAAUCAAUGAUACUCCCCUAGUAGCGGCGAGCGAACGGGGACCAGCCGAGCCUUGAGAGUGAUCGGAACAUGCUGGAAAGCAUGGCCAUAGCGGGUGACAGCCCCGUACGAGAAGCUCGAUGGGACGUAUUAAGUAGGGCGGGACACGUGAAAUCCUGUCUGAAGAUCGGAGGACCACCUUCGAAGGCUAAGUACUCCUUGCUGACCGAUAGCGAACCAGUACCGUGAGGGAAAGGUGAAAAGCACCCCGACGAGGGGAGUGAAACAGUACCUGAAACCGAACGCCUACAAUCAGUCGGAGCU
rnacentral:rRNA from 1 species